rnacentral:rRNA from 1 species
ACGGCGGUGGUAACUAUAACCAUCCUAAGGUAGCGAAAUUCCUUGUCGGGUAAGUUCCGACCUGCACGAAUGGCGUAACGACUCCCCUGCUGUCUCAACCACAGACCCGGUGAAAUUGCACUACGAGUAAAGAUGCUCGUUACGCGCGGCAGGACGAAAAGACCCCGGGACCUUCACUAUAGCUUGGUAUUGGCAUUCGGUGCGGUUUGUGUAGGAUAGGUGGGAGACGUUGAAGCGGCCACG